rnacentral:lncRNA from 1 species
GCAGCCUCAUUGUGAGUAGUAGUACAAUCUCAAGUCAAAGAAUCAUUCACUUAACUACAGCAUCGAGACGAUCAUUGACAAUUGAAUAAAAAUCUAAGUGAUCUCUUGUAUGGUCACACUCAGUACUAGUUGUUCUCUAACAACUAUCCGUACUCAUCACUUAGUGUCUCUACACUGUAGACUAAAGAUCCAUCUAUCUCGAAAGAAAUGAUUUGUGCGCCAGUCUAUCC